ensembl:lncRNA
UGCCGGUCAACCCAGGACCCCAUGAGUUGUUGAUGGAGAACAAAGGAACAGGGCCCGGAGCCUCCCCCCCUGCUGAUGCAUUUUUUUCUCUACCAAUAUUCCAACAGUUUGGCUGAGAAGCCUCCAAUAUUUUCCAUGAUAAAGCUAAAAUCCACCCGGAGCUAAAAUCCUCAGUGUCACGGCUAGUCUUUCUGCAACAUCCAUGGGAUCAUGUCAGCUGAACUCAAUUAAUGAAACCAGGAAUGAAGUCAUUCCAAAAGGACUUGUGGAGCGCUGCUCCUUCCAAAGCCCCCCAGAAGUUCAUAAAUUAUCUCCUACAUGGGAUGUAUACCAGGGAAUAUAUGGCAGGCCAUUCAGUGACUGGCCAGUCAUCCAGCAGCUGCACAGAAGGAAAACCUGGCCUAGCCCAACAGGACCUUGUUGAAAUAACAAAUGCUGCAAAGUUGAAGUUCACCUACGUAACUGAUACGAA